AUUGAACGCUGGCGGCAGGCCUAACACAUGCAAGUCGAGCGGUAGAAGGGAGCUUGCUCCUCGAUUCAGCGGCGGACGGGUGAGUAAUGCCUAGGAAUCUGCCUGGUAGUGGGGGAUAACGUUCGGAAACGGGCGCUAAUACCGCAUACGUCCUGCGGGAGAAAGCAGGGGAUCUUCGGACCUCACGCUAUCAGAUGAGCCUAGGUCGGAUUAGCUAGUUGGUGGGGUAAUGGCCUACCAAGGCGACGAUCCGUAACUGGUCUGAGAGGAUGAUCAGUCACACUGGAACUGAGACACGGUCCAGACUCCUACGGGAGGCAGCAGUGGGGAAUAUUGGACAAUGGGCGAAAGCCUGAUCCAGCCAUGCCGCGUGUGUGAAGAAGGUCUUCGGAUUGUAAAGCACUUUAAGUUGGGAGGAAGGGCAGUAAGUUAAUACCUUGCUGUUUUGACGUUACCAACAGAAUAAGCACCGGCUAACUUCGUG
rnacentral:rRNA from 1 species